UCCAAGCUCACACCUGUGAGACCUCACAGCCAGAACGUUGUGGGGUCACUUCUCUGUCACUGCAGCCCUGUGUCACAAGAGGGGGGCACAGGAUUUCCACUCAGGAAAAUGUUUUGUCCCCAUCUUUUUCUUUCUCUGUCCAAAGUUGAUGGGAGUGAGAUCAGGCCCUGGACAUUGAUACCUUACAGCAGAUUUCUGUUUCUCAGAGCAGAACACAAUUCUCCAUCAGCCAUCUCUGAGAGAGGGAACAGGCAGCUGCACUUUUAAUUUCUGAGGACUAAACCAAGAGCUGCAGUAAAGCCCAGGCAGGGGUUGUGCUUCUGACAAGAGGCUCUUCACACAGCCAAGGACAAGGAGGCAUGGCAGGGUGUGGGAAUGCAGCCCUCUCCAGGCACUGCUUAGGUGAGGGCAACAAGGAUCCCCUGGCUUAUUCCAGACACUUUAAAUGCUUGAGGCAGUUCAGUUUCUGACUAUGCUAAUAACAGCAGUGAGUCCAAAUUACAAUAAAUUGUAGAUUCCUCCUAGA